GACAAACGCUGGCGGCGUGCUUAACACAUGCAAGUCGAACGGAAAGGCCCUUCGGGGUACUCGAGUGGCGAACGGGUGAGUAACACGUGGGUGAUCUGCCCUGCACUUUGGGAUAAGCCUGGGAAACUGGGUCUAAUACCGAAUAGGACCACGCGCUUCAUGGUGUGUGGUGGAAAGCUUUUGCGGUGUGGGAUGGGCCCGCGGCCUAUCAGCUUGUUGGUGGGGUAAUGGCCUACCAAGGCGACGACGGGUAGCCGGCCUGAGAGGGUGACCGGCCACACUGGGACUGAGAUACGGCCCAGACUCCUACGGGAGGCAGCAGUGGGGAAUAUUGCACAAUGGGCGCAAGCCUGAUGCAGCGACGCCGCGUGAGGGAUGACGGCCUUCGGGUUGUAAACCUCUUUCAAUAGGGACGAAGCGCAAGUGACGGUACCUAUAGAAGAAGCACCGGCCAACUACGUG
rnacentral:rRNA from 1 species